rnacentral:rRNA from 1 species
CAAAGAUUAAGCCAUGCAUGUCUAAGUAUAAGCUUUUAUACGGCGAAACUGCGAAUGGCUCAUUAAAACAGUUAUAGUUUAUUUGAUGGUCUCUUUUACAUGGAUAACCAUGGUAAUUCUAUGGCUAAUACAUGCGCACUCGCCUCCUUCUCUGGAGGGGCUGUGUUUAUUAGAUACAAAACCAACCCACAUUGUGGAGUCCUGGUGAUUCAUAGUAACCGAACGGAUCGCACUUGGCUUCGGCCCGCGAUGUAUCAUUCAAGUUUCUGACCUAUCAGCUUUCGACGGUAGGGUAUUGGCCUACCGUGGCAGUGACGGGUAACGGGGAAUUAGGGUUCGAUUCCGGAGAGGGAGCCUGAGAAACGGCUACCACAUCUAAGGAAGGCAGCAGGCGCGCAAAUUACCCAAUGAAAACAGUUUCGAGGUAGUGACGAGAAAUAACAAUACAGGGCAUUAUAUGCUUUGUAAUUGGAAUGAUGGGAAUGUAAAACCCUCUCAGAGUAACAAUUGGAGGGCAAGUCUGGUGCCAGCAGCCGCGGUAAUUCCAGCUCCAAUAGCGUAUAUUAGAGUUGUUGCAGUUAAAAAGCUCGUAGUUGGAUUUCUGUCGUGGUCUUCCGGUACCGCCCGUAUGGGUGUGCGCCUGGACUGACCUCGGCUUUCUUC